UUCCGGCGGCUCCGCGGUACUUCGCCGGGCUGACCUCCGGGGCGGUCCGCGAACACUUCAGCCAUUAGCAGUGCUCUGUGCCACACAGCAUAAGCAGUGAAUGUGCAAAAUCCCCUGCGCACGAAACCGUCCUUCAGCCCUCUCCCUCAGGGUCCUGCCUGGGAGAUCUAGGCCAGCACCAACCACAUCCCGGCUCCUUCCGCGGAGAGGAUGUCCCUGCGGGCGGGGACAGCAGAAGAACCUCCCUGACCACUCCGAAGUCUUGCUUGAGCUGCAGCGCCCCCUGCAGGCUAGAUGUCCAGCACCACAAAGAAAGAAAAAUUACCAGGACACAAUCGAAGUCUCCAGUAUCGACCCCUCGGCAUGUGGAGCUUGAAGCCUUGUGUGGCUUGUUUAUGGCAUUCUUGGAAAAACAGACCCAGUGACUCUUUGGGCAGGAGCUGUAUGGGGAGGAAGAAAAUAAGAAGGGCUAGUCUGUUAGCCUGGGGAUGGUGUUUCUCCCGCUGAGGUCUCAGUGUGGUCUUCUGUAAAACCCUUAGCAAUCAAAGGCACCUGACAAGUCCGGCGUGUUGGGCAUGUGGCUAGACUCCCAGCGUGUGGAAAGUAGAAUCAGAGUGUCAGAAGUUCAGUGGCCAGGGGGCUGGAGAGAUGGCUCAGUGACUAACUGAAUGCUCUUCUAGAGUCUUGAGGUCAAUUCCUAGCAACCACAUGGCUCACAACCAUCUGUAAUGAGAUCUGAUGCCCUCUUCUGGUAUAUCAAAAGACCGCUACAGUGUACUCAUAUACAUAAAAUAAUUUUUU
rnacentral:lncRNA from 1 species